CGGACUUUCAAGCCUCCACCCGACAUAGCGAAAGAGAUUUCCAAGAGUAUGGCGGCGAACGCUUUGAUUUCCAAGGUGUUAUUUGCUUCGAGUAUCACAUUGAUUAUAUGUAUCACUGUAAUUCUUCCUAUGUUUGUACUUUGUCUUUUACGCAAAUUUACUGAAAUGAGGCAACAAAAUUUUGGUGUGCAAGAGAUUUUAGAUGAGAUAGAUACUAAAGUAAACAAGUAUCUUAGAGGUGAAAUCACUAAUUUGGAGGAUUUGAGAGACAAAAAAUUGAAAGGUCAGCUUGCUGUGAGAGGAAUUAUAUGGAAAAUCUGCCCAGGCUGCUGCCAAGGUUGAGAAUUGGCUUAUGCCAAGCGAGGGGGGGCUACUUGGAGGCUGCAGGUAUACAGAAGACUUGGAGGAUCAAACAAGAGGCAAUUGUGCAUGAAGUCGAUAUAUCAAGUUCAAAGAAUCAAUACGAUAUUGUCUUACCAGGUUGAUACUGUGUAAUCUCUUCU